GGUCCUGUGGUGUAGUGGUUAUCACGUCUGCUUUACACGGAGAAGGCCGCCGGUUCGAUCCCGGCCAGGACCU
rnacentral:tRNA from 1 species